UGGGGAAUAUUGGACAAUGGGCGAAAGCCUGAUCCAGCCAUGCCGCGUGUGUGAAGAAGGUCUUCGGAUUGUAAAGCACUUUAAGUUGGGAGGAAGGGCAGUAAGUUAAUACCUUGCUGUUUUGACGUUACCGACAGAAUAAGCACCGGCUAACUCUGUGCCAGCAGCCCGGUAAUACAGAGGGUGCAAGCGUUAAUCGGAAUUACUGGGCGUAAAGCGCGCGUAGGUGGUUUGUUAAGUUGGAUGUGAAAGCCCCGGGCUCAACCUGGGAACUGCAUCCAAAACUGGCAAGCUAGAGUACGGUAGAGGGUGGUGGAAUUUCCUGUGUAGCGGUGAAAUGCGUAGAUAUAGGAAGGAACACCAGUGGCGAAGGCGACCACCUGGACUGAUACUGACACUGAGGUGCGAAAGCGUGGGGAGCAAACA
rnacentral:rRNA from 1 species